UUUGUUUUCUCUCUCGAUUCUCCGUCGUCAUUCUUUCUGCUACAUCUAGGGCUACAGAUUGAUAGCAACUAAUUAUAAACCAAGAGAUCAGUUAACGAUGAAUCGAUAGGCUUGGAAGUGUUAAUUUUUGAGUUAUGUUACAAAAGGGGAAGAAUGGAUUUUCCGAUUUGAGAAAUCAGUCUAGGUAUUGGGUUCUUUUUUCUGGAGUAUGGUGAAGAUUGAUGAGUCUUAAGAGUUUCAGUGGGUUUUGGGAGUUGGGUUUUCUUCGAAUUCAAGUUCACAACAAGAAUAAGUGAGAUAUGAAAGAGAUUCAUAGAUUGCAACAAAGGGACGAUUUGAAUUUUAUCACGGACAAAACCCCUCUAUCUCAACCAUUGUUAAUUGGGUUUCUGCUAAUGAUUUAUUGGAUUCACUUUUGGGAAGAACACGUUACAGUUUUGGGAAGAAGACGAUGAACUGGUCAUGGUUUAACUAGGUAGUAACUCAAUCUCUUGAUACGGGUUUGACUAGGUCGAGGCACUUCAUGAGAGGGGUUCAUAUGUGUUUUCCUAAGUAGGAUAACUGACACGUAGACAGAUAACAUCAGUUACCCGUUUUUUGAAAAAAACGGGACGACAAAUAUCAAUAUCGGCCACUUUAUAUGAAGAUUCAAAAUAACGGCCAGUUUCUUAAAUAUAUGACAAAAACAUGGGCACUUUAUUAAAAAGCCCUUAAUCAAAUCAUAAUGUAAAAGAAACUAACACGUUUCCAUAUAAUAAUGAAGGAUUUUCUCUUUAGA